UUUUUUUUAUUUUUAGGGCCACACCCAGGGCAUAUGGAAGUUCCCAGGCUAGGGGUUGAAUCAGAGCUGUAGCUGCUGGUCUACACAACAGCCACAGCAACACGGGAUCCAAGGUGCAUCUGUGACCUACACCACAGCUCACAGAAAUACCAUAUCCUUAACACACUGAGUAGGGCCUGGAAUCAAACCUGCAUUCUCAUGGAUACAGUUGGGUUCAUUACCACUGAGCCACAAAAGGAACUCCUCAUUUUGUUUCUUUUUAGGACCUCACCUGCAGCAUAUGGAAGUUCCCAGGCUAGGGGUCAAAUCAGAGCUACAGCUGCCAGCCACAGGCACAGCCACAGCAAUGCCAAAUCCAAGCCACAUCCAUGAGCUUUGCCAAAGCUUGCAGCAAUGCCGUAUCCUUAACCCACUGAGUGAGGCCAGGGAUUGAACCCACAUUUUCAUGGAUACUAGUUGGGUUCUUAGUCCACUGAGCCACAAUGGGAACUCCACCAGUGGUCCAUAUUGAAAGAAGGAGCGUCCUGUAGCUCAGGCUCAUACCUGCAAACAGCACUUCUCCAUUCUCUCCAUUCUCAGGUGCCAUGAGAGCUGCCAUUCAGCACCCCAACACAUCCCCCACCCCACAUCGAAAUAUCUGAGCCUUUAGAAGCACAGUGAUCACGACAAAGCCUGAUGCAGGGGGAAAGUUUUCCCAGAUAGUUUCAGAGGACACCCCAGCUGAGAUACAGUUUUUUUCAACCCUGAAGACAGUGGCAGCAGUCCAAAAGACCUAGACAGAUGGCAGUCCACCCUUCCUACAGACAAGCUCCACAAUCCUGGAUUCAACCGGCCACAAAUUGAAAAUGUGCCCCCCCAAAUUACAGAAAGUUCCAAAAAGUACAACUUGAUUCUUGCCCUGCCCAGGCAACUAUUUACAUAGUAUUUACAUUGUAUAUACAACUAUUUACAUAUCAUUUACAUUGUAUUAGGUAUUGCAAGUAAUCCAGAGAUGAUUGAGCAGGACUAUAUGCAAACCCUACACGAUCUCAUACAGAGGAUUCAAGAAUCUGAGUAUGGGGCGGGGGGAGGCCCUGGAAGUAAUGCCCUGCAGAUACCUAGGGAGGACCGCACAAGAAAAAAGGAGCUGACAGCUCCCCCUGGUGGUGUGGGUCCGUCCACUCAAACACGUUUCUUUGGAGGGGGCGGGCAGUGCAGUGCACAGAGUGGUCUGUGGGACAGACCUCUCCAAGUGCACACAAACACAUCUGUAUCCAGAUGCAGGGCUAAGCACAACUUUCUACCCCCUUUCCCCCUCUAAAUUUCAUGAAAUGACCCCAAAUAAUUGUUUAAUUAAAAAUAGGUUUAUUUCUGAGUUUGCCAUCACUUAACCUGUUUUCUAAGGUUAUGGAAGUUUGAUGUUCAGACAUGGAUGCGGGAGAAAAAACACUCAAAACACAUUUCCAAAUGUAAUGAGCAGAGGUAAAGAUAUGCCCACCAAGGUCUUAUCUCUGAAACCAACUGACUUGAUUACAGCACAAAAAAUACCUACAGAUGUGUAAAUCUUAUUUUGGAUGAAAAUAGAAAGCACUUACAACCCCAAAUAACACUUACUAUGGCUCACUUCUGCCAAGUCCAGUGAAAUUGGAGCCAAACUGAGGGAAGAUGCUGACACAGUGUGCUGUCAUGCCAGAUGAUGGGCAGAGCUGGCAAAGGACAACUUCUCUGAAGACUAUGAUUUAUUCAGAGGAGCAAAAUCAAGGACAACUUAACGUGUAACUAGACCCACCCUAUGUAUAAUGACUGCUCCUGAAAAAAAAAGAACUGAACACUUAAAAAAGAAAAACAAAAUUGAAAACAGGGUUUCUUAAAAAUAAAAAAAUAAAAUAAAAAGACUUGAAUCUGGCUGGGAAGAGGGGAAAACACGGAGUUAUUUAAGGCGUAUAGAGUUUCCGUUUUGCAAGAUGAGAAAGUUCUGGAUAUGGGUUGCGCAACACCAUGAAUAUACUUAGCACUAUUGGACUGUACACUUAAAAAGAUUUAGGGUGUUCCCUGGUGGCCUAGGGGUUAAGGAUUCACGUUGUCACUGCUAUGGCUCAGGUUCGAUUUCUCACCACAGGAUAUUCCACAAGCCACAAACAUGGCAAAAAAAAAAAAAAAGAUUUAGAUGGUUCUUGACUGAAAAAAAUGCACGAUCUAAAAGUUGAGGAUUAUGUUUUAUUCAGCAGACUUGCUGAGAACUUAAACCUGGAAGUCAGCUCUUCAGAUAGCUCUGAGCAACUGCUGCAAAGAGGUAAGGGAGGAGCCAGGAUAUAAAGGAGUUUUUGCAAGGAGAAGAAAAUGGAUAGUCAUAACAUCAAAAGAUUACUGUUAAUGAAAGAAGACCAGACAUCUCAAGUUAAUGAACUUAGUACUUUUCUAUGCAUGGGAAGAUGCAAGAGUCACUGAAAUCAUUCCUUUGAUAUACACCUUAACCAUCUAGGGCCAGUAUCCUCUUCUUGCCCAUCCUGGAUCCCCUCAGGGUGCAUUGCUGAGGGCAGCUGCAGUGGCUGAUGGCUUGGUGGCAGGCAGCCCGACUGUUUCCAUCCUAAGUUCCCUCCUCAGGUCUCAGCAUCAGGGGUAGCUGUAGGGGUUGAUGGCUCAAUGGCCACUACAUACUUUGUUUGCUGAUAUGGCAGGUGGCAUUCUUUGUCCACAUGAUAAAUUCUAUAGGAUCUGUAUUUUACACAAUUAAAAAUUAAAAACUUGAAUCUACAGAUUAAAAGGAAAACUGAUUUAAAACAACCAACGCUGAGACUGGCCUAAUGAAGAUCCUUAUCUUCCAAGAUAAAGAAUCACUGGGCAUUUACAUGUAUAUAUAUGUAUGUAUGUAUUCAGGCUGGCUCCAGACUUCAGCAACAAAAGACAGUGGAGAAAUUCCUAUAUAGUCCUCCAGGAGAAGAUAAGUGAGAUCCAAGCAUUUUGUUCUUAAUCAAACUAUUUUAUCAGGCUAAAGGCAACAGACAGCAUGCAAGAAUUCAGGGAAUUUCAUUCCAACGAACUCUU
rnacentral:lncRNA from 1 species